GGUUUAAAGUCUCUAAUGACACUAUGGACUGACACGCCUCCAAGUUGGGGGACUCUGGACCCUUGUGAAGAUGGUUGGGAUGGCAUUGGGUGUCACAACAUGCGUGUGGUCUCUUUGUAUGAUUUUAGCACUUAUCAUAAUUCAAGGUGGGCAGCGUCUUGUAUAUUUCAGAACAUUAUCAAGUAUGAAUUUGACUGGCACACUCUCUGGGACAGUUAUCUGAACUACAAAUUUUGGAUCUAUCUUACAACAAGGACCUGACAGGACCACUCCCAGCAGAAAUUGGCAGUUUGAAGAAGCUAUCUAACAUAAUUCUGGUUGGUUGCAGCUUCUCUGGUCUCAUACCUCCUACUAUAGGGUCCCUACAGGAGCUUAUAUUUCUGUAAGAAUUUUGUAUUCCUUCUAGUAACGCUAAAAACAAGUACGC